CACGUAGGGCGCGAGCGUUGUCCGGAAUUAUUGGGCGUAAAGAGCUCGUAGGCGGCCUGUUGCGUCCGCUGUGAAAGCCCGGGGCUUAACCCCGGGUCGGCAGUGGAUACGGGCAGGCUAGAGGUAGGUAGGGGAGAAUGGAAUUCCCGGUGUAGCGGUGAAAUGCGCAGAUAUCGGGAGGAACACCGGUGGCGAAAGCGGCUUCCUGGUCCAGCACCGACGUUCAGGCACGAAAGCGUGGGGAGCAAACAGG
rnacentral:rRNA from 1 species